GACGAACGCUGGCGGCGUGCCUAAUACAUGCAAGUAGAACGCACAGUUUAUACCGUAGCUUGCUACACCAUAGACUGUGAGUUGCGAACGGGUGAGUAACGCGUAGGUAACCUGCCUGGUAGCGGGGGAUAACUAUUGGUAACGAUAGCUAAUACCGCAUAAUAUUGAUUAUUGCAUGAUAAUUGAUUGAAAGAUGCUAUUGCCUCACUACCAGAUGGACCUGCGUUGUAUUAGCUAGUAGGUGAGGUAACGGCUCACCUAGGCGACGAUACAGAGCCGACCGGAGAGGGUGGUCAGCCACACUGGGACUGAGACACGGCCCAGACUCCUACGGGAGGCAGCAGGAGGGAAUCUUCGGCAAUGGACGAAAGUCUGACCGAGCAACGCCGCGUGAGUGAAGAAGGUUGUCGGAUCGGAAAGCUCUGUUGUAAGAGAAGAACGGGUGUGAGAGUGGAAAGUUCACACUGUGACGGUAUCUUACCAGAAAGGGACGGCUAACUACGUG
rnacentral:rRNA from 1 species